UGAAAAGCCGUUUUUGUUUAAGAUUAGUGCACCCUGUGAGAAACCAGCACCCUUUUUAUUUUGUGAAUCCCACCUUUACAAAUAAAAACUAAACUACAACCAAGUUGACCAAGUUGAUUCACCGCCAAAGAGGUCCAGAAUCGGACUGCCAAGCACUGUGCGACUGCAGCUGCCAGAGAACCACCAAGCAGGUUCUGGAUUCUGGCACAACCUACAUCUGCCUCAUCCGAGUGGCCUGUUCUCAUCACUGAUGCAGACUGAUCUAUCACCAUGAGACCUGAGCUGAAAAAACCUGAGCGGCAGACCCAGGGUGUUUUCUUUAAGUGGACAUACUGUGUGGCACACUUUGCCCCAACUAGUGAAAAUAGUACAUAGAAGCAUGCAGCAGAAGCAUGAAUCCACAAUUUCCUGCAAAAG